AUUGAACGCUGGCGGAAUGCUUUACACAUGCAAGUCGAACGGCAGCAUAGGUGCUUGCACCUGAUGGCGAGUGGCGAACGGGUGAGUAAUACAUCGGAACGUGCCCAGUCGUGGGGGAUAACGUAGCGAAAGUUACGCUAAUACCGCAUACGAUCUAAGGAUGAAAGCGGGGGACCGUAAGGCCUCGCGCGAUUGGAGCGUCCGAUGUCAGAGUAGGUAGUUGGUGAGGUAAAGGCUCACCAAGCCGGCGAUCUGUAGCUGGUCUGAGAGGACGACCAGCCACACUGGGACUGAGACACGGCCCAGACUCCUACGGGAGGCAGCAGUGGGGAAUUUUGGACAAUGGACGCAAGUCUGAUCCAGCCAUUCCGCGUGCAGGACGAAGGCCUUCGGGUUGUAAACUGCUUUUGUACGGAACGAAAAAGCUCUUACUAAUACUAGGAGUCCAUGACGGUACCGUAAGAAUAAGCACCGGCUAACUACGUGCCAGCCGCCGCCGUAA
rnacentral:rRNA from 1 species